GACGAACGCUGGCGGCGUGCCUAAUACAUGCAAGUAGAACGCUGAAGGAAGGAGCUUGCUCUUUCCGGAUGAGUUGCGAACGGGUGAGUAACGCGUAGGUAACCUGCCUGGUAGCGGGGGAUAACUAUUGGAAACGAUAGCUAAUACCGCAUAACAGUAGAUGUUGCAUGAUAUCUACUUAAAAGGUGCAAUUGCACCACUACCAGAUGGACCUGCGUUGUAUUAGCUAGUUGGUGAGGUAACGGCUCACCAAGGCGACGAUACAUAGCCGACCUGAGAGGGUGAUCGGCCACACUGGGACUGAGACACGGCCCAGACUCCUACGGGAGGCAGCAGUAGGGAAUCUUCGGCAAUGGACGGAAGUCUGACCGAGCAACGCCGCGUGAGUGAAGAAGGUUUUCGGAUCGUAAAGCUCUGUUGUAAGAGAAGAACGAGUGUGAGAGUGGAAAGUUCACACUGUGACGGUAUCUUACCAGAAAGGGACGGCUAACUACGUG
rnacentral:rRNA from 1 species